CGCGGAUCGUAAACACUCGUGCACCCGAAAAUGCACCACAAGGAUCGAGUUUCCCGAACUUGACAUUGAAAACAUCAGCGGCAGAUGAAGAUGCUCCUCGGCCUGUCAAUCCGCUUAUGUUUAUUUCGGGAGUGCACCCAAGCAUCGAUUGGUAUUCCAUUCGGAGGGGCAUGUCACUCUGUUUGUUUGGUAAAAGGGGCGGGGUUGGAGGUUGGAGGUCGGGGGCAAACGUAUCCAGUUGCAAUGCUGACAAGAUCACGUACAAAGUGCAACUUUGCCGGGCUGUCAAUCAAAUGAUGAUGUUAUUUUGUUCUUCGAUCUUAAAGGGUUUCUUCAACUGGAAUGCUCACCAUUAAGUACUCAAUGUGUCAUUGCGAGGGCGGCUUGAUAUCUUCAGCUGUUUGCCUUAAGGUGAUCGUCUAAUCUGCGUUUGUGCAAGGUGAUGGUAUUUGGUAGAUCAUUAUUGAGAUAAUCCUAGUUUUAUGUAAAUGAAGGCAAUAAAUCCUUCUGCUUUAUAAUGUAGAAAUUUGUAUUUAAAAUAGAUAAAUCAGUGUUCUAAAUAUACUAGGUUUAAGGUGACGUUAUUUACCUCUAGUUUGUCUUACUCAUACUCAUUAUUAUAACGUACUUCUUUUUAUGUUAUUUAAAUGUUAUUUUAGUUGUUACUAAAAAAACUGGCUUAAUAAUAAGAAACGAUCUAAACCAGUGGUGUUAUCACACUCCUUUUAUCUAAACUAGA